ensembl:processed_transcript
AUUUGCUCGUCUUUGAAGUGUGAAAUAGACAUAAAACCCAUGCAGACGUAUAAAAAAAAACUCUGUUAAAUUGCUAAAUUUUGGCCAUUUGUUUUUGUGCUUCAGGAUUUUGAGAACAGUGUGAAAACAGACUGAAGAAUAAGCUCUAACCUUCAAACAGUACCAUUAUUAAUCUGGGAUCACCACAGAGGAAUGAACCGCCAACUUAUCCAGCAUAUGUUUUACACAGCUGAUGCCCUUCCAGCUACAACCCAUCACUGGGAAACAUCCACAAACAUAGACUAUGGACAAUUUUAGCUUACCUAAUUCACCUAUAGCGCGUGAGUUUGGACUGUGGGGGAAACUGGAGCAGCCGGAGGAAACCCACGUAAAUACAGGGAGAACAUGCAAACUCCAUACAGAAAUGCCAACUGACCCAGCAGGGGCUCGAACUAGCGAUUUUUUGUUGUGAGUUGAUUGUACUACCCGCUGUGCCACCGUGCUGCCCAUUGUACUGAAUUUAAACAAACUAAAUAAAUUUAGCAAUGUUCAACUUCAUUUGUUUGUUUAAAUUCAGCCCACAAAAAUGCAGCCGCUUACCUUAAAAUGUAGUAAAUGCAAUGCAUCAGUUUAUUUCAAUGUGUAUCUCUUCACCUUUAACUCUCAGUGGGUCAACAGAACAGAACUAGAUCAUUAUGUAUUUUUCAUGCGACCAGACUAUCAGGUGAGAGAACUGACACACAUAUGUGCGAAUGUUUGCGCGCUUGUAAACCCAUAUCUGUGUGUGCACAAGCAUGUUUGUAGGAAUGAUUGGCCAUGGUUGUGUGUCUGGCAGGGUGACUGGGGGUGAUUGGCCUGCAGGCGGUGUCUGUCGUGCUUGUUCACUGACC